AGCCAUUUGACUCCAAUCAAGAAGGGUGUCUGCCAGUGUUAGUUUCUUUAGCUUUGGUGGAAAUUUAUACCUUUGGGGAAGGCCAGCUAGUUUGCCUUCCGAAGGAGGCAAAGGAAAUACAUCAUUUAAUAGCUUCAAAUUUUCAAGGUAAUCCAAUUUUCCCAGGCUAUCAAACAAACUCGACACACCUUUGGAUUCCAAAAGUUUAGCUAAUUUGCCACGAAUACCCAAUUUCUUUAGGUUUGGAGCUCUGGCAAAUACAUCUUCUGUACAACUUUCAGGUGAGAUUGUAGAAAUUGUUUUUAGGUUAGCAUUUAUCAGGGAAUCAUCUUUACUUUUUCUUGAUUUAGCAAGAGGACCUGGUAAAGAUGUGGACGCGUUUGUUUUUAGAUGCCUCAAUUGAAUCAUCUUCCAUAUAUCUCCUUUGAUUUCAAGGGUUCGUUCUGAAGUCUCAACUAUAAGAGUUUGCAUGUUCCAAAGGCUAGAAAUGGGAGAAGGAAGGAUCUUGAAAUUGCUGGACAGAACAAGAUACCUCAAAUGAACGAGUUGAGCUAGAUCAGUAGGAAAACGAGUGAAAAAAAUGGGUUUAGCAUCUAAAACCCUGAGCAAUUUAAAUGCUCCAGGGAUGGAGGAAGUGUGUUCAGCUUGCAGAAUAAUUUCUUCAGAAGAGAAACACAAGAAAGACCGAACACGUGGACCAAAUGGUUUUGAAGAGAUAUAACUCCAAACACGGGAAUGAAUGCAAAGGCGACGAUACGAUUCCAAGUAAGGAUUGGAAGACGAAUAGGUAACUUGAUCAAACCGUUUAAUUUCUUGGAAGAAGUUUUCCUCUGCAGCUUGAUUCUUGCAGAACACGUGUAGCAUGUCAUGAACAUGGCAUGUUUUAACUUUUCCAUUUGACCUCCGUUCUCCAACCAUGACUAAAUUCCUGUUGACAAGAUCGUCUAAGUACUCCUCUGCAAUAUCCUCCAAGCUCAUUCCCUCCUUUUGUUGUAUGAAUCCUUCAGCGAUCCAGAGACGAACCAAUUUCCACACUGGGAUUUGGCAAUCUUCUGGAAACAUCCCGAAGUAGAGAAAGCAUGCUCUCAAGUAAUAAGGUAAGUGAUUAAAACUCAAAGUUAUAAAACUGUCCAUACGUUUCUCCUGAUCCAUGGCAAUAUACGCAUCCACACUUUGAGCAACCUUUUCCCACCAAUAACUUUCAGUACCUUUUUCCAAUAGAAUUCCUCCAAUCACCACUAGUGCGAGCGGUAGUCCGCCACAUUCUCUGGCUAUAAGCCUUCCAGGUUGUAUCAACUCCUUAGGGCAUUCCUCUGCACCAAGUGCCUUUCUUUGGAGUAAUAUCCAACUUUCAUCAGAAUUUAGAAAACGCAAAUUAUGGGGCUCCCUGUUGGGGUUGGCAUGCACAGCCACUCUCCUGAUACGACUAGUCAGUAAUAUUUUGCUUCGCUUCUUAUUUCUGGGAAAAGCAAUUUUGAGAUCAUUCCAGGCAUCUUCAGUCCAGACAUCAUCCAUGACAAUUAAAUACUUCCCUUUCUCCAGGAAUUCACGAAGUUCCUUAGCUAUUUUUUCAUCAUUCAUCUUAUACAUCUCAUCACUUGGCUUAGCAAAAUGACUCCAAAUAUUGAGAAACACUUCCUUUCUAUUAUAUUCUUGAGAAACAUAAACCCAUGCUCGGUUAUAGAAUUCAUAUUCAAUUUUAGGAUCACGAUAUAUCAUUUUUGCCAGUGUUGUCUUUCCAAGGCCAGGCAUGCCAAUAAUUGAUAUAACUUCGAGUUCAUCAGGUCCUCCCAUGAGUAGAUUAGUAACAGUUUUUGCCUCAUCUUCAAAUCCCACCACAUUGUCUUCCUCUACAAUGGGAGCCUAUAUUAUAGUGAAAAAUGUUUAUUUCAGAAUCACAAAUAAUUAAAGAAUUGAUUUAAGGUUGUUCAUCUAAUUCUACUCAAUAUCUGAAAUAUCUAAAAGAUGAGUUCCUACCUUUUAGCUGGUGUCAUUUGAGAAUUUCAGAAAGUUCUCAGUUAUACAUUUCGGAAAAAUUUUACGCACUAGACUACAAAUAAGUUUCAAUAGUAUGCAAGAUAAUAGCAAGAAAACUCCUGCCUGCAGAACUUGUUAUCUUGGACUUCUACUUCGUACAACAGAAUUCAGAAUCACAUUAAGGAAUAUGAUUCAUGUCCAUACUUAGCGAUGGAGCAUGUAAAAAGAUAAGUUUUAUGUACAUUCAGAAAAAAGAAACUUGGAAAUCCUAACAAUUGUUUGACAUACCAGUUUAGUAAUAAAAAGGAAAGUUUUUUAUGGUGCACCAAUUUUGAAGAAUUAAUUCAAUCUGGAUCUUCAUAUAAAAUUUUGCUCCUUGAGUUCUCAAUGGUAGUACAAUUAUGAAGCCAGGAGAGUAACUAGAUUAAAAAAUGUUUUACCUGUGAAGGAAGCAUUUUUGAGCUCGAAGGAAUGGAGGUCAUUGAUCUGGAGGAUAAACGGAGAGCUUAAAUACAAUGCCUUUGUUGCCUUGCUUCUCAGCCUCAUCUUUCAUCGUUUUCUUAUACUGCUGGAUUUUCCGGGCAGAAGCAGCAGCUGAUUUGGUGGUACAGUACAAGUCAAUUAUCUGGAGGCUUAAAACAUCUGCAAGGCUGACUGGGACUGCUUCGAGGCUAGUGCAGUGUUUAAGAUAAAGACUCCUGAGUCUUGGGAAGUGAUGAGUCAAAGCAUGCCAAUGAACUAAAUCUGUCCUUCCAAUAAACAAGACUUUGAGAGCACGGAAACCUCCAUCCUCCGGCUGCCACCACUCUCCCUUAAAUGCAUUGUCUUUCAACUUUAGGAUCUCAAGGCUUUCCAACAUUCCCAAUGUAGCCAUUUGACUCCAAUCAAGAAGGGUGUCUGCCAGUGUUAGUUUCUUUAGCUUUGGUGGAAAUUUAUACCUUUGGGGAAGGCCAGCUAGUUUGCCUUCCGAAGGAGGCAAAGGAAAUACAUCAUUUAAUAGCUUCAAAUUUUCAAGGUAAUCCAAUUUUCCCAGGCUAUCAAACAAACUCGACACACCUUUGGGUUCCAAAAGUUUAGCUAAUUUGCCACGAAUACCCAAUUUCUUUAGGUUUGGAGCUCUGGCAAAUACAUCUUCUGUACAACUUUCAGGUGAGAUUGUAGAAAUUGUUUUUAGGUUAGCAUUUAUCAGGGAAUCAUCUUUACUUUUUCUUGAUUUAGCAAGAGGACCAUGUAAAAAUGUGG
rnacentral:lncRNA from 1 species